rnacentral:rRNA from 1 species
GAUGAACGCUAGCGGCGGGCCUAAUACAUGCAAGUCGAACGGGAAAGGUGGCAACACCUUGAGAGUGGCGUACGGGUGCGUAACGCGUAUACAUCCUGCCUGUUACACGGGGAUAGCCUUGCGAAAGCGAGAUUAAUACCCGAAGGUACUAUUAAGCCGCAUCGCUUGGUAGUUAAAGCUGAGGCGGUAACAGUGGGGUAUGCGUCCCAUUAGCUAGUUGGUAGUGUAACGGACUACCAAGGCGACGAUGGGUAGGGGUUGUGAGAUGAUGAUCCCCCACACUGGUACUGGGAUACGGACCAGACGCCUGCGAGCAGCAGCAGUAGGGAAUCAUGGGCAGUGAACGGAAGUCUGACCCAGCCACGCUGCGUGGAGGAAGAAGGUGCUGUGAAGUGUAAACUGCUUUUCUUGGGGGAGAAAACCUUUCAGCGGAAGGAAUUGACGGUACUCAAGGAAUAAGCAUCGGCUAACUACGUG